ACGGGAGGCAGCAGUGGGGAAUAUUGCACAAUGGGCGAAAGCCUGAUGCAGCGACGCCGCGUGAGUGAAGAAGUAUCUCGGUAUGUAAAGCUCUAUCAGCAGGGAAGAAAAUGACGGUACCUGACUAAGAAGCCCCGGCUAACUACGUGCCAGCAGCCGCGGUAAUACGUAGGGGGCAAGCGUUAUCCGGAUUUACUGGGUGUAAAGGGCGCGUAGGCGGGAAGGCAAGUCAGAUGUGAAAUCCAUGAGCUCAACUCAUGAACUGCAUUUGAAACUGUCUUUCUUGAGUGUCGGAGAGGUAGAUGGAAUUCCUAGUGUAGCGGUGAAAUGCGUAGAUAUUAGGAAGAACACCAGUGGCGAAGGCGAUCUACUGGACGAUAACUGACGCUGAGGCGCGAAAGCGUGGGGAGCAAACAGGAUUAGAUACCCUGGUA
rnacentral:rRNA from 1 species